UGAUACCGCGGGCACGGGUUCAACAGGAGGAAGGAGCUGCCAGGUCCAUGCAGGCUCCCUGGAAGAUGCCGGCCUUCCUGCAUGAUGAAGUUGCUGCAAGGGCCCAUCGGCUCCUGGUUGGGUCUGCUUUCACCUCCCAGCUCCCCCCUGCCUGCUGAUGCUCAUAGGAUCAGCCAAAUUUAGGACUCCUUACGGAUGAGCGGAUCCAGCCCCAAACUGAUGGACAACCUCCUCCGAGAGCCUGGGGAUGAUGCGCCAGAUGGAUCCAUGCCAUAAAGCCCAUUGGAAUUAAGCGACCAAUGAAAUAUUCACCAUAGCAAAUGGAGAGGCUGUUGCCGAGUCCUGAGGGCUUGGGGCAGGCAGCAGACAAGGACCUUAUGUGAGUGCUUGUUGUUUCUCACAGCACCUACAGCUCCCACCAGUGCUGCAAGGACUGCCUGUUCUCAGCGCUGUGCUGGGUGAGCAUUCUGAGUGGUCAAAGUCAAGGCUCCUCUCUCCAGGGACCCCCACUGCUGCAGUGAGGAGCGGGGAUAGACCAUCCCCAUCCAUCUGAACUGAAUCUCAGCACUGAUCCCAGCGUUCCAUGAAGCCAUUCCUGCGAGCCAGCUGUCUCCAUACGCCUGGCAGAUGUCUUGGAGCAGGACUGAGCCUUUGCAAGGCAGAGGCUUGGCUUCACCCCUUCCUUUGAGGCACAGCCAGAGCAGGCAGUCCCGUCCCGUCCCGCUGCCCGCUUCUCCCAACAGGCUCCCCUGCAGCGAGACCUCUACGUGCCGUUAGCGUUGAGACUCCUUCAAUGCUCCUCUCAUAUUGCUUUGUGUUCUUACUGCUUCAAUACUAGCGAGGCAAGGUGGUGACUGCACCUCCAUAGCCGGUGGGAGAUGGAAGGAUCCAGACUGUAGCUAAAAAGCUCUCCCACUGCCUGCAUGCGUCUCAGGGCGUGCAAAGAGAUUUCAAAUCCACACGCAGUGAUUCACAAGUGGUCCGAGAUGCUUUGCAGGCAGAACGGGAGAAGAAAAUCGGGAUGAUGUGUGUAAAAAGAAAGGUAGU